UAUGUGAUCGUCUCUCGCAUAUCAAUAAGCGGAGGAAAAGAAACUAACAAGGAUUCCCCUAGUAACGGCGAGUGAAGUGGGAAGAGCUCAAAUUUGAAAUCUUAAAGGGUUUCCCUUUACGAAUUGUAGUUUAAAGAAGUGUUUUCUGUUGAGGUUUUGGUAAAAGUUCUUUGGAAUAGGACAUCAUAGAGGGUGAGAAUCCCGUAUUUGACCUUUACUUUCAACUUUGUGAUACACUUUCAAAGAGUCGGAUUGUUUGGGAAUGCAGUCCAAAAUGGGUGGUAAAUUUCAUCUAAAGCUAAAUAUUGGCGAGAGACCGAUAGCGAACAAGUACCGUGAGGGAAAGAUGAAAAGAACUUUGAAAAGAGAGUUAAACAGUACGUGAAAUUGUCAAAAGAGGAAGCGUUUGACACCAGUAUUGUUUUUUCUGAAAAUCAAUUAAAGAACUGUUUAUGCUAAGUUGUUUAGACUUUAUCAGCUAACUGUUUAGUUUUGAGCUUUUCUUUAAUGCACUUUUCAGUUAACAAGUCAACAUCAAUUUCUUUUGCUGUAAAAAAGCUUGAGGAAGGUGGCUUGAGAUUCGUCUUAAGUGUUUAUAGCCUCUUGCCUAUGCAGUCGGAGAGAUUGAGGUCUGUAGCGUAGAUCCUUCGGGGCUAAAUGCAUUUGUGCUAAGUUAUAGCAUUUUCAUAGACAACUUGUUGUACUAUGAUUUGUCUUGUAGCUUACUCGCUUAUGUUAUUUUACCUACGCUUAGGAUGUUGAUCUACAGAGCGAGAG
rnacentral:rRNA from 1 species